GACGAACGCUGGCGGCGUGCUUAACACAUGCAAGUCGAACGGAAAGGCCCUGCUUUUGUGGGGUGCUCGAGUGGCGAACGGGUGAGUAACACGUGAGUAACCUGCCCUUGACUUUGGGAUAACUUCAGGAAACUGGGGCUAAUACCGGAUAGGAGCUCCUGCUGCAUGGUGGGGGUUGGAAAGUUUCGGCGGUUGGGGAUGGACUCGCGGCUUAUCAGCUUGUUGGUGGGGUAGUGGCUUACCAAGGCUUUGACGGGUAGCCAGCCUGAGAGGGUGACCGGCCACAUUGGGACUGAGAUACGGCCCAGACUCCUACGGGAGGCAGCAGUGGGGAAUAUUGCACAAUGGGCGGAAGCCUGAUGCAGCAACGCCGCGUGCGGGAUGACGGCCUUCGGGUUGUAAACCGCUUUCGCCUGUGACGAAGCGUGAGUGACGGUAAUGGGUAAAGAAGCACCGGCUAACUA
rnacentral:rRNA from 1 species